CAAAACUUUAAGAAAAUUAAUACCUUAAUUAUAUUUUGUUAUCAAUGUAUUACUUAAAUAUAAUAAAAAUUUUAGUUCUUUUUGGUCCUUUCGUACUAAAAAAGACAAUUAACAAUUUUAAAAGAUAGAAACCAACCUGGCUCACGCCGGUCUGAACUCAGAUCAUGUAAAAUUUUAAAAAUCGAACAGAUUUACCUAUUAAAGCUUCUACACCUUAAGGUUAUUUUAAUCCAACAUCGAGGUCGCAAACUCACUUUUUAAUAAGAACUCUCUAAGCAAAUUACGCUGUUAUCCCUGUGGUAACUAUUAUAAAAGCAAUAUAAUAAUUAUUGGUUACUUUUUAUAAAUAAAUACAUGUUCUAAGGAAGUUAUUAAAUAAUAAUUUUAUUCCUUAAUCACCCCAAUUAAAAUUUAUUUUUACUAAUUUUUCUUUAUAAUAAUUAUAAAAUUUAAGCUCAACAGGGUCUUCUCGUCCCUUUAAACAAUCUAAGCUUUUUCACUUUAAAAAUUAAUUUCUAAUAAAUAAUAUAGAGACAGAUAAACCUUCGUCAAACCAUUCAUUCUAGCCUCAAUUUAUAAGGCAAACUAUUAUGCUACCUUAGUACAGUUAAAAUACCGCAGCUGUUAAAUUUAAUCACCGAGCAGGCCCGACUCUUUAUCUAUAAUUAUUACAAAGAGACAUGUUUUUGGUAAACAGGCGAGAUUUUUAUUUGCCAAAUUCCUUUAUAUUAUUUAAUUAAUUUACCUUAUUUUAAUAUAUUUUCAAUUAAAUAAUUAUAAAUAUCAUUAUUAUAAUUUUAAUACUCAUAUUAACAUUAUAGUUAUUUAAAACCAAUUUAUAAAUAUUUAUAGCUUAUUAAUAAUCCAACCUGAAUAAUGUGUAUAUGAUAUUUAUUAUUAUUUUUAAAGAAAAACACUAUUAAUUUUACUUAAAUAAAUAACUCAAUAUAUAUCAUCUAAUAUUCUAAUUAAAUAUAUGAAGCUUACCCUCAUAUACUGCACUAAUAUUAAAUUAAUCAAAUAUUAAAUCAAUAUUAUAAUACUUAAAUAUUAUAAACUAAUAAACUAGCUAUCAUAAAAAUCGAUUAAUAUAUCAUUACCACCUAAUAUUAAUUAUAUAACUAUACAACGUUAACAUAUUAUCUACUAAGUAAAUCCUUUUAUUUCGAGAUUAUAUUAUAUAUUUAAUUUAUAUCAUCAAUUCAUUAUACAAAAGGUACGAAUUAUAAAUUCUACUAUAAAUCAAUAUAUUUAUUUUCCUUUACAAUACUUACUAUUAUAAUAAUGAUUCUUUACCUUUUAUACUACACAAUCAAAUAAUUUAAAUUAUAUAACUUUUAAUAUAAUUAAUAUAUAUACAUAUUUAACUUUAUACCAGGAACAGUUUCCACUACCCCUACUAUGUUACGACUUAUCUUAUCUUCCAGUAAGAGCGACGGGCGAUAUGUACGCAUUACAAAACCAUAAUUCAUAAUAACACACUAUUUAUUUUAUUACUAUCAAGUCCAACUUCAAAAAUUAUAUUACAUAAUUCAAUUCGUAUUUAAAAAUUAUAAAUUGUAGCUCACUUAAUAAACCUUUUUUAUAAGCUGCAUUUUGACUUAUCAUUACAAUUAUUUAUUAUCAUGUUUUUAAAAUUUCACAAAAUAAACUGACGACAGCAAUAUACAAACUGUAUAAUAUUCAAAAAAAAGUAAGUAUAAAUUGAGGAUUAUCAAAUUAAUAAACAAGCUCCCCUGAAAGGAUAUGUAACACCGCCAAGUCUUUUAAAUUUCAAAUAUAUGUAUACUAUUUUAUAAACAACUAAAAAUAUAUUUGUACUUCUUCAGUUAGAAUAAAUUUUAAAAUAAAGAAUAAUAGGGUCUCUAAUCCUAGUUUUUUUUCUUAUUUUCAAAGAAUAUAUUCAAUAGAGAAAUAAAAAUAAUAUUAAUAAUUAAAUUUUACUUACAAUUAUUAAUCUCACCUACUCUAUUUAUAUUUUAUAUAAUUACUUUAUUUUAUACUGUAUUAAUAUAAAUUUUAAGUAUUGGUAUAACCGCAGCGGCUGGCACCAAUUUAACCACUUUACAUAAAUUACAUUAACUAUAUCAAAUUUCCAUUCAUUGUAUAAAUAUAAAUACUGCGUAACUUUUAUAAAAAUUAUAUUAAUAAAAUAUUAACAUAACAAUAAUUUUUAUUUAAUAAAUAUUAAACUAAAUCAAAUAAAAAUUAAUAUUCAAGUAAAACAAUAUAAUUUUAAACUUAACAUGUAUUAAUUUAAUAAUAAUUUAUAUCAUAACCAAAACCAAGCCAAUAAUAUAUGAAAUGAUAUAUCAUAUACGAUUUCGGCUCGUACAUAGGUAUAAACAAUUUAUACCCUUAUAUUUUAAAUAAUAAAUAAAAUAAUUAAAAAUAUAAUUAUAUAGCAAUUAAAAGAUAAUAUUAGCCAAUGUUCUAAUAAAAAAAAUAAAAUUUUAUUAACAUUAAAUAAUCCUUGAGCACCUAUAAUUUCAAAUCAACCCAUGUCAAUAAUUUUAAGUCUAGUAUUAGUUAUAUUUUUAAAUCCUAUUAAUAAAGGAUUACAUAAAAAACUAGAUAAAAAUCAUAUUCUACUAUUGAUAUAUUUAAGCCCCCCUACAUUAAAUUUUACAUACCCUAUUCUUCAUAUCCUAAAAGAAAUUAAUAAAGAAAAAAUAAUUAAAAAAGGAAUAGAUAAUUUUAUUAUACUAGGCAGAUAAAUAUCUAUGUCAAAUAAUAUAAAUAAUUUAUUAAAUAAUAUACCACUUCAUACAGCCCCACAAACUAACAAUGAUAUAGGAAUAAUUAUUUUUAUAUCAUUAUCUUUUAUAUUAUAAAAACUCUCAGAAUUCUCGUUACCUCAAAUAAUAUACAUAGAAAAGCGUAUACUAUAUAAUACAGUUAAACAUACCCCAAAAGCACCUAUAAAUAAUAUAAAAAUGUUUAUACUCCCAGUUAUUAAUCUUUCAAUAAUUAAAUCUUUUGAAUAAAAACCAGCCAAAAAAGGAAAACCACAUAAAGCUAUAUUUGAUAUAUUUAAGAAUAUACAAGUAACAGGCAAUAUUUUAGAUACAUUAUUAAUCUGACGUAUAUCUUGUUUCCCUCUAUAACAAUGAAUAAUAUUACCACCACAUAUAAAUAAUAAAGCUUUAAAUAAAGCAUGCGUGUAUAAAUGAAAUAGAGCUAAUAUAGGUAUAUUUAAACUUAAAGACAUUAUUAUUACACCUAAUUGACUUAAUGUUGAUAAAGCAAUAAUUUUUUUUAUAUCAUACUCAUAUAAAGCACAUACACCUGAUAUAAUAGUUGUUAUAAUAGAAAUAUAUAACAUGAAAAUAUUAAAUCAAUAAUAACAAUUUAAAUAAUUAAAAAAACGAAUAAAUAAAAAAAUACCAGCAGUAACUAAAGUAGAAGAAUGAACUAACGCAGAAACAGGGGUCGGGGCAGCUAUUGCAGCUGGAAGCCAUCUCCUAAAAGGCAUUUGAGCACUUUUUGUUAUACCCGCAAUUAUAAUAAAAAAAUUAAUAAUUUCAAAUACUAUAAAAUCUCAUAUACAUAAUAUAUUUCAAUGACCUAAAACAAUUAAAAUAGAAAUAGCUCCUAAAAUAAAACAAUCUCCAACCCGAUUUAUUAAUACAGUUAAUAUACCUGCUGAUAAAGAUUUAUUAUUUUGGUAAUAAAUCACUAAACAAAAUGAUACUAAUCCCAACCCAUCUCAUCCUAAUAAUAAAGAAAUUAACCUAGGGAUAAAAAUUAAAAAAUUUAUAGAUAUAACAAAUAAUAUUACUACUAAAACAAAUCGAUUUAAGUUUGGGUCUCCUUCUAUAUAUGUUAUAGUAAAAAUUAUUACACAUCCAGAAAUAAAACAAACAAGACCCCUAAAUCUACAUCUCAUUCAAUCAAUAAUAAAAUCAAACUCAAUAACCCUUCUUACACAUAUAAUUAUCUCUCAUCUAAAUAACAACCCUAAAUUAUUUAAACAUAAAUAAAUAGUUAUUAACCUUAUAAAAAUAAAUCACCUAAAUAAAAUUAUACUAAAAAAACACUCUACACCUAUUAAUGUUAACAUA
rnacentral:tRNA from 1 species